AACGUAGGUACCGAGCGUUAUCCGGAUUUACUGGGCGUAAAGCGUGUUCAGGCGGCCUAGCAAGUCGGGCAUGAAAUCUCUCGGCUCAACCGGGAGAGGCUGUCCGAUACUGAUGGACUAGAGUGCGGUAGAGGGUGGCGGAACUCCGGGUGUAGCGGUGAAAUGCGUAGAUAUCCGGAAGAACACCGAUGGCGAAGGCAACCACCUGGGCCUGCACUGACGCUGAGGUACGAAAGCGUGGGGAGCAAACAGG
rnacentral:rRNA from 1 species